rnacentral:rRNA from 1 species
AGAGUUUGAUCCUGGCUCAGAUUGAACGCUGGCGGAAUGCUUUACACAUGCAAGUCGAACGGUAGAGGGGGCAACCCCUUGAGAGUGGCGAACGGGUGAGUAAUAUAUCGGAACGUGCCCAGUCGUGGGGGAUAACGUAGCGAAAGUUACGCUAAUACCGCAUACGAUCUAAGGAUGAAAGCGGGGGAUCGCAAGACCUCGCGCGAUUGGAGCGGCCGAUAUCAGAUUAGGUAGUUGGUGGGGUAAAGGCUCACCAAGCCAACGAUCUGUAGCUGGUCUGAGAGGACGACCAGCCACACUGGAACUGAGACACGGUCCAGACUCCUACGGGAGGCAGCAGUGGGGAAUUUUGGACAAUGGACGCAAGUCUGAUCCAGCCAUUCCGCGUGCAGGAUGAAGGCCCUCGGGUUGUAAACUGCUUUUGUACGGAACGAAAAGGUUUGUCUUAAUACGAUGAGCUCAUGACGGUACCGUAAGAAUAAGCACCGGCUAACUACGUGCCAGCAGCCGCGGUAAUACGUAGGGUGCAAGCGUUAAUCGGAAUUACUGGGCGUAAAGCGUGCGCAGGCGGUUAUGUAAGACAGAGGUGAAAUCCCCGGGCUCAACCUGGGAACUGCCUUUGUGACUGCAUAGCUAGAGUACGGUAGAGGGGGAUGGAAUUCCGCGUGUAGAAGUGAAAUGCGUAGAUAUGCGGAGGA